AGAAAUAACAUGAAUCAGAGACAGAUGUAGACAGGAAGUAAGGUGAAUCAGAGACAAAGACAGAUGUAGACAGGAAGUACGGUGAAUCAGAGACAAAGACAUAUGUAGGCAGGAAGUAAGGUGGAGAGACAGAUGUAGACAGGAAGUAAGGUGAAUCAAAGACAAAGACAGAUGUAGACAGGAAGUAAGGUGAAUCAGAGACAAAGACAGAUGUAGACAGGAAGUAAGGUGAAUCAGAGACAAAGACAGAUGUAGACAGGAAGUAAGGUGAAUCAGAGACAAAGACAGAUGUAGACAGGAAGUAAGGUGAAUCAGAGACAAAGACAGAUGUAGACAGGAAGUAAGGUGAAUCAGAGACAAAGACAGAUGUAGAGAGGUAGUAAGGUGAAUCAGAGACAAAGACAGAUGCAGACAGGAAGUAAGGUGAAUCAGAGACAAAGACAGAUGUAGAGAGGAAGUAAGGUGAAUCGGAGACAAAGACAGAUGCAGACAGGAAGUAAGGUGAAUCAGAGACAAAGACAGAUGCAGACAGGAAGUAAGGUGAAUCAGAGACAAAGACAGAUGUAGAGAGGAAGUAAGGUGAAUCAGAGACAAAGACAGAUGUAGACAGGAAGUAAGGUGAAUCAGAGACAAAGACAGAUGCAGACAGGAAGUAAGGUGAAUCAAAGACAAAGACAUAUGUAGACAGGAAGUAAGGUGAAUCAAAGACAAAGACAGAUGUAGACAGGAAGUAAGGUGAAUCAGAGACAAAGACAGAUGCAGACAGGAAGUAAGGUGAAUCAAAGACAAAGACAUAUGUAGACAGGAAGUAAGGUGAAUCAAAGACAAAGACAGAUGUAGACAGGAAGUAAGGUGAAUCAGAGACAAAGACAGAUGCAGACAGGAAGUAAGGUGAAUCAAAGACAAAGACAUAUGUAGACAGGAAGUAAGGUGAAUCAAAGACAAAGACAUAUGUAGACAGGAAGUAAGGUGAAUCAAAGACAAAGACAGAUGCAGACAGGAAGUAAGGUGAAUCAGAGACAAAGACAGAUGCAGACAGGAAGUAAGGUGAAUCAAAGACAAAGACAUAUGUAGACAGGAAGUAAGGUGAAUCAAAGACAAAGACAGAUGUAGACAGGAAGUAAGGUGAAUCAGAGACAAAGACAGAUGCAGACAGGAAGUAAGGUGAAUCAGAGACAAAGACAGAUGCAGACAGGAAGUAAGGUGAAUCAGAACAAUGGUGUGGAACAUACAAAUACUGAACACAUCAGUAUUCUGGG